GCCCGGUUAGCUCAGUCGGUAGAGCGCAAGGCUCUUAACCUUAUGGUCGUGGGUUCGAGCCCCACAUUGGGCG
rnacentral:tRNA from 1 species